UGUAGCUCAGUGGUAGAGUGUUUGCCUGGAGUGCAUAAGGCCCUGGGUCUGAUCUCCAGCA
rnacentral:tRNA from 1 species